GAUUAGGCAUGCAAGUCGAGCGAUACUUGGGGGAGAGAGGCUGAAGCCGUAAGGUGGAUGUCAAUUUGCCUUGAGAUAUAGCGGCAGACUGGUGAGUAACAUGUGAGUAAUCUACCCCUAAACCGGGGAUAGCUUCGCGAAAGUGGAGGUAAUACCCGAUGUGUUCAUUCUCGCAUAAGCGGGAAUGUGUAAAGGCGGUCCGCAAGGAUUGUUGUUUAGGGAUGAGCUCGCAUCCUAUCAGCUAGUUGGUAGGGUAACGGCCUACCAAGGCUUUUGACGGGUAGCUGGCCUGAGAGGGUGGUCAGCCACAUGGGGACUGAGACACUGCCCCAACUCCUACGGGAGGCUGCAGUCGAGGAUAUUUAGCAAUGGGGGAAACCCUGACUAUGUGACGCCGCGUGAGGGAUGAAGGAUUUCGGUUCGUAAACCUCUUUCGAUGGGAAAGAACUCCCUAAUAGAAAUAUUAGGGCUGACGGUACCCGGAGAAGAAGCCACGGCCAACUCCGUGCCAGCAGCCGCGGUAAUACGGGGGUGGCGAGCGUUACUCGGAUUUAUUGGGUGUAAAGGGCAGGUAGGCGUCUCUAUAAGUCAGAAGUGAAAUCCUAUGGCUCAACCAUAGAACUGCUUUUGAAACUGUAGAGAUUGAGGAUAGAAGAGGAGAGUGGAAUUCCCGGUGUAAGGGUGAAAUCUGUAGAGAUCGGGAGGAACACCUGUGGCGAAAGCGACUCUCUGGUCUAUCCCUGACGCUGAGCUGCGAAAGCUAGGGGAGCAAACAGGAUUAGAUACCCUGGUAGUCCUAGCCGUAAACGAUGAGCACUAGGUGUUGGGGGGUAACCUUCAGCGCCGUAAGAUAACUCGUUAAGUGCUCCACCUGGGGACUACGACCGCAAGGUUAAAACUCAAAGGAAUUGACGGGGGCCCGCACAAGCGGUGGAACAUGUGGUUCAAUUCGACGCUACGCGGAGAACCUCACCAGGGCUUGACAUGCAGGAAGUUGGAACCGGAAACGGGGACGACCUGUCAAGUCAGGAGCCUGCACAGGUGCUGCAUGGCUGUCGUCAGCUCGUGUCGUGAGAUGUUGGGUUAAGUCCCGCAACGAGCGCAACCAUUAUCUUUAGUUGCUACUUUUGAAAGCCGAAAGGCCUAGAGAGGCACUCUAGAGAGACUGCCCGCGAUAAGCGGGAGGAAGGUGGUGAUGACGUCAAGUCAGUACGGCCUUUAUGCCCUGGGCUACACACGUGUUACAACGCCCAUUACAAAGCGUUGCCAAACCGCGAGGUGGAGCUAAUCGCAAAAAAUGGGCUCAGUUCAGAUUGGAGUCUGCAACCCGACUCCAUGAAGACGGAAUCGCUAGUAAUGGCGGAUCAGCUACGCCGCCGUGAAUACGUUCCCGGGCCUUGUACACACCGCCCGUCAAGCGAUGGGAGCUGGGGGUACCC
rnacentral:rRNA from 1 species